GACGAACGCUGGCGGCGUGCUUAACACAUGCAAGUCGAACGAUGAAGCCCAGCUUGCUGGGUGGAUUAGUGGCGAACGGGUGAGUAACACGUGAGUAACCUGCCCUGGACUCUGGGAUAACCCCGAGAAAUCGGAGCUAAUACCGGAUAGGACCUUUCCUCGCAUGAGGUUUGGUGGAAAGUUUUUCGGUUUGGGAUGGACUCGCGGCCUAUCAGCUUGUUGGUGAGGUAAUGGCUCACCAAGGCGUCGACGGGUAGCCGGCCUGAGAGGGUGACCGGCCACACUGGGACUGAGACACGGCCCAGACUCCUACGGGAGGCAGCAGUGGGGAAUAUUGCACAAUGGGCGCAAGCCUGAUGCAGCAACGCCGCGUGCGGGAUGACGGCCUUCGGGUUGUAAACCGCUUUUAGUAGGGAAGAAGCCUUCGGGUGACGGUACCUGCAGAAAAAGGACCGGCUAACUACGUGCCAGCCGCCACCGUAAAAC
rnacentral:rRNA from 1 species